AAUAUUGGUCAAUGGACGCAAGUCUGAACCAGCCAUGCCGCGUGGAGGAUUAAGGCCCUUGGGUUGUAAACUCCUUUUAUCUGGGAAGAAAUGCAUUUUUUCUAAAGUGCUUGACGGUACCAGAGGAAUAAGCACCGGCUAACUCCGUGCCAGCAGCCGCGGUAAUACGGAGGGUGCAAGCGUUAUCCGGAUUUACUGGGUUUAAAGGGUGCGUAGGCGGAUAGGUAAGUCAGUGGUGAAAUCUCCGAGCUUAACUCGGAAACUGCCGUUGAUACUAUUUAUCUUGAAUAUUGUGGAGGUAAGCGGAAUAUGUCAUGUAGCGGUGAAAUGCUUAGAUAUGACAUGGAACACCAAUUGCGAAGGCAGCUUACUACACAGUUAUUGACGCUGAGGCACGAAAGCGUGGGGAUCAAACAGG
rnacentral:rRNA from 1 species